UACGUAGGGGGCAAGCGUUGUCCGGAUUUAUUGGGCGUAAAGCGCGUGUAGGCGGCCGUGCAAGUCGGGUGUGAAAGCCCUCGGCUCAACCGAGGAAGUGCGCCCGAAACUGGCGAGCUUGAGUACGAAAGAGGAUCGCGGAAUUCCCGGUGUAGAGGUGAAAUUCGUAGAUAUCGGGAGGAACACCGGUGGCGAAGGCGGCGAUCUGGGUCGAUACUGACGCUGAGGUGCGAAAGCGUGGGGAGCAAACAGG
rnacentral:rRNA from 1 species